CCGCCAGAAAACUACGAGCGAAAAGCUUAAAACUCAAAGGACUUGACGGUGCUCCACACCCGACUUAGAGGAGCCUGUCCUAUAAUCGAUACUCCACGCUAAACCCCACCACUCAUUGCCGAAACAGCCUAUAUACCGCCGUCGCCAACUUACCCCAUGAGGGCUUAACAGUAAGUACAAUAGCUAACUAACUAAAACGUCAGGUCAAGGUGUAGCUAAUAGAGUGGUAGAGAUGGGCUACAUUUUUU
rnacentral:rRNA from 1 species